rnacentral:misc_RNA from 1 species
GAUGAAGAACGUAGCGAAAUGCGAUAAGUAAUGUGAAUUGCAGAAUUCAGUGAAUCAUCGAAUCUUUGAACGCACAUUGCGCCCGCCAGUAUUCUGGCGGGCAUGCCUGUUCGAGCGUCAUUUCAACCAUCAAGCCCCGGGCUUGUGUUGGGGACCUGCGGCUGCCGCAGGCCCUGACAUGCAGUGGCGGGCUCGCUGUCACUCCGAGCGUAGUAGUUACAUCUCGCUCUGGGCGUGCUGCGGGUUCCGGCCGUUAAAAGCCUUAUUUACCCAAGGUUGACCUCGGAUCAGGUAGGAAGACCCGCUGAACUUAAGCAUAUCAAUAAGCGGAGGA